AAAUUGAAGAGUUUGAUCAUGGCUCAGAUUGAACGCUGGCGGCAGGCCUAACACAUGCAAGUCGAACGGUAGCACAGAGAGCUUGCUCUCGGGUGACGAGUGGCGGACGGGUGAGUAAUGUCUGGGAAACUGCCUGAUGGAGGGGGAUAACUACUGGAAACGGUGGCUAAUACCGCAUAACGUCGCAAGACCAAAGAGGGGGACCUUCGGGCCUCUUGCCAUCAGAUGUGCCCAGAUGGGAUUAGCUUGUUGGUGAGGUAACGGCUCACCAAGGCGACGAUCCCUAGCUGGUCUGAGAGGAUGACCAGCCACACUGGAACUGAGACACGGUCCAGACUCCUACGGGAGGCAGCAGUGGGGAAUAUUGCACAAUGGGCGCAAGCCUGAUGCAGCCAUGCCGCGUGUAUGAAGAAGGCCUUCGGGUUGUAAAGUACUUUCAGCGGGGAGGAAGGUGUUGUGGUUAAUAACCGCAGCAAUUGACGUUACCCGCAGAAGAAGCACCGGCUAACUCCGUGCCAGCAGCCGCGGUAAUACGGAGGGUGCAAGCGUUAAUCGGAAUUACUGGGCGUAAAGCGCACGCAGGCGGUCUGUCAAGUCGGAUGUGAAAUCCCCGGGCUCAACCUGGGAACUGCAUUCGAAACUGGCAGGCUUGAGUCUUGUAGAGGGGGGUAGAAUUCCAGGUGUAGCGGUGAAAUGCGUAGAGAUCUGGAGGAAUACCGGUGGCGAAGGCGGCCCCCCUGGACAAAGACUGACGCUCAGGUGCGAAAGCGUGGGGAGCAAACAGGAUUAGAUACCCUGGUAGUCCACGCCGUAAACGAUGUCUACUUGGAGGUUGUGCCCUUGAGGCGUGGCUUCCGGAGCUAACGCGUUAAGUAGACCGCCUGGGGAGUACGGCCGCAAGGUUAAAACUCAAAUGAAUUGACGGGGGCCCGCACAAGCGGUGGAGCAUGUGGUUUAAUUCGAUGCAACGCGAAGAACCUUACCUGGUCUUGACAUCCACAGAAGAAUCCAGAGAUGGAUUUGUGCCUUCGGGAACUGUGAGACAGGUGCUGCAUGGCUGUCGUCAGCUCGUGUUGUGAAAUGUUGGGUUAAGUCCCGCAACGAGCGCAACCCUUAUCCUUUGUUGCCAGCGGUCCGGCCGGGAACUCAAAGGAGACUGCCAGUGAUAAACUGGAGGAAGGUGGGGAUGACGUCAAGUCAUCAUGGCCCUUACGACCAGGGCUACACACGUGCUACAAUGGCGCAUACAAAGAGAAGCGACCUCGCGAGAGCAAGCGGACCUCAUAAAGUGCGUCGUAGUCCGGAUUGGAGUCUGCAACUCGACUCCAUGAAGUCGGAAUCGCUAGUAAUCGUGGAUCAGAAUGCCACGGUGAAUACGUUCCCGGGCCUUGUACACACCGCCCGUCACACCAUGGGAGUGGGUUGCAAAAGAAGUAGGUAGCUUAACCUUCGGGAGGGCGCUUACCACUUUGUGAUUCAUGACUGGGGUGAAGUCGUAACAAGGUAACCGUAGGGGAACCUGCGGUUGGAUCACCUCCUUA
rnacentral:rRNA from 1 species